AUUGAACGCUGGCGGAAUGCUUUACACAUGCAAGUCGAACGGCAGCACGGACUUCGGUCUGGUGGCGAGUGGCGAACGGGUGAGUAAUACAUCGGAACGUGCCCAGUCGUGGGGGAUAACGUAGCGAAAGCUACGCUAAUACCGCAUACGAUCUAAGGAUGAAAGCGGGGGAUCGCAAGACCUCGCGCGAUUGGAGCGGCCGAUGGCAGAUUAGGUAGUUGGUGGGGUAAAGGCUCACCAAGCCGACGAUCUGUAGCUGGUCUGAGAGGACGACCAGCCACACUGGGACUGAGACACGGCCCAGACUCCUACGGGAGGCAGCAGUGGGGAAUUUUGGACAAUGGGCGCAAGCCUGAUCCAGCCAUUCCGCGUGCAGGAUGAAGGCCCUCGGGUUGUAAACUGCUUUUGUACGGAACGAAAAGGCUCUGGUUAAUACCUGGGGCUCAUGACGGUACCGUAAGAAUAAGCACCGGCUAACUACGUGCCAGCCGCCGCCGUAAUAC
rnacentral:rRNA from 1 species